GCUCCAUUCUACCGUCCGCUCCCACCUGGGUUCCUCCGCGCAUCUCGCGCGACCCUCCGAUGGAACCGACGUCGGCAGCGACCGCGCACCGUCCGCUUCCCGUCCUCCGCUCCCGCGCUUCCCGCACCUCCGUCAGAUCAUCGCCCUGCCUUGCCCGCAUACUCGACAUCGCUCGCCCUGCUCCUCCGCCGCCGCCACCUAUUCUCGCACGCCCAGCGCCGCAACUCCUCAUCCCGCUCAACAAGUGCCGUGUCGUCGAGUUGUACCUCCCCUGGAAGUGCGAGUCCGAGGCGCAGGAGGCCAAGGUGAAGGGCGGCGCCUCCAUUGGCCUCAUCCCGGCCACCGCAAAGCUCGCCUGAUCCGGCCCCGGUCCGAUCCGGUUGAUUUAGGUGAGAAGAUCCGCGAGGCGCAGGAGGCCAAGGCGAAGGGCGGUCAGAUCCGGUUGAACAUUGGGAGUCUCAUCAUCGAGGAUUCAAGAGAUACUUUUCAAGAGGUAAAGAGCAAGCAUGACAAGAAGAAAGAGGUGAGUUGACACUGAUUUUCUAACUUCAAUGUGCCCAUACCAUCCUGCAAUAUGCAAUUCGUUUGAUGACUAUUGGCCAGCUUUUAUUUGCACUAUUUAUGAAUUGCUAACCAGCCAUUUUCUUGCACCUGGUUUUGAAAAUUAAAUCUAUUUGUGCUACUGACUUUUUUUAUACUUUGCAAUUCCCUUGCACCAAAGUUAGCAUAUUCAGCUACAGUUUUGGACCAUUUUAUUUUUAGAGAUCCUGGACCAUUUGAUUUUUCAGUUUCCAUUUAUGUUUCUGAAAUAAAGUCUCCACUUGAUAGCACUGAGAUGUGAAGAUGGAAUUUCAUUCAGUGGUUCUAUGGAGAAUGUCUGAAUUCCCUCCUUGAUAGCUCUGUCCCAUGUGUUAUACAUGCAAUGGUUAAAUCAGCUAAUGAAAUUGACUUCAUCCAUGCAAAUGACAAAUACGUGUUGAGGGUUUCAUUCCAGUCAUAGUUAAAAGUGUAAAAGAAAAAAUCCUAUUCAGAUAUGGUCAGUUUUAUGCAAUGUUUGUGAAGAGAGGAACUGAUGAUUUCAGGGAAAUUGGAUAGACACUGCUGAAUGUAGCAUUAACAAUAAAUGCUUCAAUUCAAUUUCAGAAUCUGAAUGCUUUAGAGAAAUCAUCGAGAUUGCAUCUAUAUUGCAUAAUUACCUCUUUGUUUGUUGUACACAUAGACUUGAGUCAAAGUUGUAUCCACCACACGUCGAGAGCCUGUUGUAUCUCACACACACUACUCCACUGCUACAAUAUUGCUUGGUUUCUGCAAUUCAUUUUUUCAGCAAGCAUAGUAGCACAAAUCUUCAAUGGAGUUUAGUGGAACCAGAUUCGGUGCUAUCAUUAUGUUUUGUGGCUAAAUAGUAAAAUGCAGGAGGAGCUGAAGUAUCAUGUGAACGGCUUAAGGAAGCACAAAAUAUUAACAAAUCACUUUCUGCAUUGGGUGACUUCAUUUCAACUCUUGCUACGAAAAGCAGCCAUAUACCCUACAGAAAUCCCAAGUUGACACACUUGCUGCAAGAUUCUCUAGGAGGAAACUCUAAAGCAUUGAUGUUUGUGCAAAUUAGCCCAUCCGAUAGUGAUGUAUCAGAAACCUUGAGUUCAUUAAACUUCGCCAGCUGUGUUCGGUGUAUUGAAUUGGGACUAGCAAAGAAGCAAGUUGAUACUGUUGAACUUCAAAAGACCAAACAGAUGGUUGCACUGCCCCGACGUUCUUCUAAUAAUACAUCCGUACGUGUUGGAUCAAGUGCGUUGCUGUGUGGUCUUUUGAUAGGAACGCAAGAGAUUCCAUAGGCCCAUCCAUCGAAUGGUUUUCUUUUCCACCGAUCAAGUGCGCGUUGCGUUCAUCCUCGGAGUAUCAAGUCUGGUCACACCACCACCAGAGUCACCACCACGCGAAGAAGAUGGAGGCCCAGCGUGCGAGCCGGGCAGAGAGCAGGACGCCGAUUCGGUCCGAAUCCGGGCGGCGGGCAAACAACAGUGGCCAAGUUGCACGAGAAGGAUUGGAGGGGACGGUCAAAAGCCCCCAUUAAUAAUGUAAGGUGCCACCACCCCUCCACCCAACUUCCAUUCUUGCUUUCCUUCCUGCCUUUCAACUGUACACUGGUAGCGUCGUAUCGCCGUGGUCAAGUCGUCUCGGAAGCCGUAUCUCGUGGCAGUACAGAUAAACAAUUGGCCAAGAAAGAUCGGCUACCCAGUCACACUCGAUCCACAGAUUACUGUCCUAUACUUUGAUCAGUAGCUCUGCCGAAUGGCAUGGCAUGCAUGGAGCACAAAUCUUUGAUCAUGUAGUAAUUUGGAACGAGAAAAUGAAAAAGAAAUUGAAGAUUUGGAGAAGAAGAAUUGGAGCAGUGAAAGGGAAUGGGGAAGAGGAGGCGCGCCGCAUGCGUGAUUCCGCCGCAUGAGUUGGGUGACCUGCCACGCUUGAUUUGCCGCUUUUUUCAUCACGCUUUGUUAGGUGCUCGGCAGCUGGAUCCUCACCUCUUUUAUCAAACAAACGGAGCAUUCAUAUUCGUUCGUGCUAACGCAGCUAGUGGUGGUGUGCUCGAGGUAUUGCGCUUUUAGGUUCACUCUUCAUUCAGUAGCGGUGCUUGCCACCAAAUUGGCUAGAAGAGUAGACGUUGACAAGGACGCUCUCCGUUCCUGAAACAGGC